GCCGUGAUCGCAUAGCCUGGUAUUGCGCGAGCCUGGAAAGCUCGUCCCGUUCAGGGAUCCCCGGUUCGAAUCCGGGUCACGGCG
rnacentral:tRNA from 1 species